UCAAGAAAGUAUAUCCUGCUCGGAAUGAAGUCAAGGUUAGAUAAUUAAAUAAUGAUUUACUGGUGUUUCAGUUACUAAGAUGCUUAUUUUGUAGUAAUAGUUUGCACUCUCAUAAAUCAGCGAAAUAGAUUUCCUUCAUUGGCACUCUCAUCAGUCAUCAAUCAGCGAAACAGAGAAAUCAACGGUUUCAAAAUUCUCUGGAACCCAUUUCAAGCUUCACGCCUUCAAUUCUAAUGACACCCAAGACACAGAAGACAUCAACAUAGUAGAAGAAUUCAACCCAAUACCCAUUUCAACCCAAGUUUUCGAUUCCUGCUUCACCUGAUGAGAAGAAGUUUAUGGGUGAGAAAGUUACAAAGCUGAAAAUAUCUUCUUCUAUCUUUUGUUUUACACAUCUUCUGAUUGAGUUAUAAUACAUGCCUCGCUUCUAUACAAGAUGAGAAACCAUAAAAUGCCUUUAUGAAGUGUUUGCGAAGUUGAUGUCACCUAAUUCAGAUUUCACUGAAUUAAUUUUUGAACCAAAUUAAUGCAUAUGUUUGCUCUAACGUUGAAAAGGAAAAACGUUGAAUGAUAUGGAUAUUUUCCUUUUAAGAAUACAAAGUCGCGAUAAAGGUAGAAAAUUUAGAUGGUAUUAAUUUUGAUAUGGAUCACCGUUGAGAACUUUGCCUGAGGUAUUAAAUUCUAUUUUCCCUCUUUAGAAAUGUUUCAUGUAGCUCCUAAUUGUGAUGCUUCAUUUACAUAUUUUUAAAAUUUGAUCAUAUAACAGGGAUAGAGUGUGUCCGAGUCAAUUUGAUGUUACAGACUUGCAGCUAACUGUUGUGCGUUAUAUAAUUGCAUAUUUCUUAGACACCAGAUAUGACCAAGUUCCAUCUACAAUGUUAACAGAAUCUUUGAUAGGUAAAGGAGGCAGACAAAAAAGCUAAACAUCUUUUUUCUUCCGUAUAGCUCCCAGGCAACUACACAAGGCAAUGCUUGAUAUAAGGGCUUUAGAUAUACAUUUGCAGGGUGUUUAUCGUAUGAGUAAGGAAAUCACUGUCUUCGCUCCCAGCAGACAGUGAUUGGAAGAUCCAUCCUCGCAUCACUUAGCACCUUCCAGCAGGCAAGCCUUUUUUUAAAAAAAUCUUCUCUUGCAUAUACUUUUGCAAUUUUAAACUUCAUUUUGAAUUGUGUUGUUGCUAACUUAAACAUGUUUGUGCUUAAUCAGAUGUGGAUUUUGAAGGGCUGUUGACACCCAAUUUUGACCCUCCCUGAUAAUAAUUAAUUUUCGAGCUUUUUAAAUUUCAAACAAUUUAAAAUAAUUAGCCUUGUAAAAUCCAAUUGGUUUCAAGAUUAUUUUAAGUAAUUUUCGUAGAUUUCUAUAGUAGUUUGAAUAAUAAAUAUAUUUUACAUAAUUAUUUAUGUAUUUAGUAUAUUUUAUAAAUGGUUGAAAUCCAUAUCAAAUGAUUUUUACAGUGUUAAAAUAAGUAGUUUAUUAAUUUGGUUUUAGUGUGAGUUAUAGUUUGAAUUUUGAACUAAUUAGUUUAUAUUUAAAUCAAUUACUUUGUAAUCAAGUUAGUUAUUUUAUUUUGUAUAGAUUAAGAAGCUCAUUAAUUAAUUUAUAUAAUUUCAUCUUGUCGAGCUUUUGGCCGAAUUCACAAAUCAAUUUCCAACCGGUUAAAUUUUCAACCUCAAUUGAUCAUAAUUUUAAUCGUAAUCCCUUUUUUUUUUAUUUCUAAGCUUGGUUCUUUUAUUUUUGCAAUCCAGCAGCCCAAACACUUAAAAAACAACCCAUCCCAAACACCAAUUUUCAGCUUCAAUUCCCAACCCAAUAAUUCCUGUGACCAAGCCCAAUUUCCCCUUUAACCCGGCCCACCCCAAUUCUAAAAGAAAUCAAUACAAUCCAAUGUUCCCUUUUUUUUCCUCUGUCAACGCAUCAAAUUCACGGCAACAACGACAAUCCCAAGCGGCGUGAGCAACAAUUCCUAAACGACACCAACAACAGCGUACAAACGACGCCCUAAAGUCCAUCAACUCACGGCGAUUCACGGAAAGCUCACGGCGCGAGAAAACGCGUGCCUAGUACAACAACAUACUGCUAUCCGUCGCCCUCUUCGCUGCAACAGUGCAGUUGCAGCAGCUGCUGUAACAGCGCAGGGUGUCCUUGAGGACGUAGGAUCGAGACACGUAGCAUCUCAAGGACAUCAAAUUGAUUGAAGUCGUCCAUCGCCCUUUCUCCUUCCGGAAUGAGACGAAUUUUCAAAGAAAAGGUGUCGUCCCAAAACGGGAAAAGAAUUUUUUGAAUUUGGAAUGGGCCUCGUUUCACCCGUUCUUUGCCCUAAUUUGAGGGAUAAAUAGUUCCGGAUCCUUCAGGUUUUAGGCAGGAUUUUCAGUUGCUGGAAAGGAAGAUAUAUAAACAUAAGAAUACAUAUAUAAAUGGAGAGCGAUAUUUAGGCAAAAGUCGACAAGAAAUUUGAUUCUUGUGUUCGCCUCUUGCAAGGCUCGUCGGAAUCUCGUUGUGGUAUUGGAGUUGCUGUUUCUCUGCUCGUGGUUCUCGGUUUCGCUGCACCCUUGAAGGUAACACUCAUCUCUCUUCAAGCAUAUCUUGCUCAUAAUGUGUCGUCGCUUGAUUCUUAAUGCGUGAGCCGUCUGCGUGAUAAUGUUUGGAGAAUACUUCGACUCAUUGCUUAUCAUAAAUCAGUAUGUAGCUGGUUUGUCUGCUUCUGGACACUGAUAAGAGUUGAGUUUUUCCGCCUCAUUUGUCUAUUGCUGCAUCUGUUGAUUUAUGUUGGUUAUAUUGUGACCUGGACUUUUGCAAAUGUAUUGGAAUAUUGGGUUUUUAUUGUUAUUACUCUUAUUGUCCUAGUUUUUCUAUAACACCUCUAUGAUCGGUUUCAAAAUUCCUAUUAAUCUUAUUCUGUGUCUAUUUGUUGUAAAUAUGCUUAUGGCUCAGGUUCUAGUGGCAAAUCGUAAUGUAUGCUUCAUGUUUAUUUGGAUUUGUUCACUUCGAUUUAAUAAUGAAACUUGUCAAAAAUCGGUGCUUACCUUAGCCCAUAGGUUGUUAUCUCCGAUAAUCUUAUGUUGCUAUUCAGGGGUCAAGCGUGUCGAAUUAUUAGCAGUCUAUCUAGCUAACGGUGUUCAUCAUAAGUAGCGGUUAUAUUCUUCUCAGAUAGUAGCUUAAGCUUUAACUGAUUUUUACUACUUUAGCAUGAUAUAACUCACCAAAUAUUUGAGGAAUCAGAUUAUUUCCCUUGGAUUUUCACUGAUGGUUGGCCCGUACUUGAGUUACUGUAAGUAGAACAUUUGGUCACGACUCGUUAGCUUAUCCACCAUAUAUUUAAUUCUUCCUGCAAAUAUUCAAAUGCUUGUCCUAUAUAAAAAAAUAAUAAUAUAUAUAUAUAUAUAUAUAUUAAUUUCUAUCCAUUAGUUUAUAGUGUUAUUUCCAGUGAAGUCCUUGAAUAUGCAUUUUAGUUGUUUGUGCUAGUAGCUGUUCAAUUAAAUAAUCUUUUUAUGUCUCAUAGUUUGAUGAAUCCAUGGCUGUUUACUGCUUCUUCGUUAGUAAAAUCGCUUAAUGAUGAUCAUGAAUUACUCAUGUUAAUUCUUUCCUUCCACUUUCCUUACAUGUGAUGCUUCGCCGAGUCUAUUUGGACUUUUCCCAUUGCCUCUUUGCAUUUUCGAGUAUCGAGUCAGCCCUCCGAUGUUCAAGAGUGAAAUGGAAUUGGCGUACAGGUGUUUGGAGCUGAUAUACGGGAUUGUAUACAUUAGUAUACACCUAGUGUAUACGAAAAAAUGAAAAAUGGGCAUAAAGUAGCCUUAAAUUUUCAGCUUUUGUAUUUUUGUAAUUAUUGGACUAAAAGCCCAUUUAUUUUGAUUAUUAUUGUGUUAGUUUAGGACAGGUACCAAGUGUUGGGCCAAAAGCCCCAAAAGCAGAAAUCAGGCCCAAGUAUUGGUCCAGGCGAACAAAAAAAAAAAAAAAAUCCAAACUUGGGCCCAACUCUCUUUCCCUCUUUACUUUAUUGUGUUCAUUUACUUACUAGUAUUUGUCGUUAGUCUUAAGGUCGAAAAAUUCAAAUCCCCGAAAAACGUCUAUUUUGAUUUAAUAAUUUAACUAAACCAGUCAUCUCUUAAACAAGACUUAAAGGAAUAAUUUUGCAGGAUAGCUCACUUAGACAAUAUUUAAAUAUUUCCUCUUUUCCCCCUUUAAAAAUAAGUUUUAACUAUAAAAUAGAUCAAUUUCGCAAGUCAAGCUAAGUUAAAAUUAUUUUAGUCAAGUAGUUAAUCGUCGGAUAACCACAUUAGUGGAUAUUUUAGGUGUCUUUAAAACCAUCCUAGAAUAUUAAUAAGAACCUCGAACCCCCCUUUUAAAAUUUUCAUUAGAUUCCAUGUUUUAAUCUUUUGAAAAAAUAGUUUUCUUGAUUUUUCUUAAAAAUUAAGUGGCGACUCUAAACCAGUCCAAAAUAAUAUUUUCUUAAAUAAAACAAGGGCGAGUACGACAAAUCUGGUCCAUCCAUUGUCCACAAGAAGUGCUUCUAAGGUGUUGCUGCUAUUUUUACAUUUGUUCGCGAGUUCUUUUUUAUUUUUUUUGUUCUUUCUGCUAAAGCUAUUAUGUCAUCCACAGUGAACUCAGGUCUGCUGUUAUAGGCAAGUCAUCGAGAUGGGGCUAUCAAAGAAGGGUGAUUAAAAACAUUGUACCGCUGAUACUAUUUCAUGUUUCCAGUGCAAGCCUCUUUUGUAAGUUGACAAACUCGAUUUGUAAAUAUGUUUGGGACUCAACUAGUGGUUAGAGUAUUGAUUUUGUAAGAUUUUUGUCCAGAAAAUCAAAUUAGAAAGAUUACUCGCGAUGAUUGAAUAAGCUCGAAGAAGUGGAUUUGAAUUUCAAUUCGUGUCUUUUUUUUAUGUGUGUGUGUGUGUGAGAAAUUUGAAGUGUUGUUUAGAUUUGUUGGAAUAGUCAAAAGACUAUAAAAUUUGAAGACAUUUGAUGGAGAUCUGAUUAGAUGAUUUUGAACAACAAUUGCAACUGAAGAUGGAUAUGUAUAUUAUUUUCGUAGUUAGCAACGUGUUAUAUAUUUUUAUAGUGGAUAUAUUGUUUUCUCAUUCGGUGAUGGGCAUCCACAUUGGAGUCCGACUAAAUUCGGAUUUGCACAUUUCGACAGGCGGCGCUCUUGACAUGAUUUUUUCCAUUCCACGGCUUAUGCUCCUAAAUUCUAAUUAAGGGUAGAAAAAUCUCAACUAUUUCACCACAACUCAUAUCCGUUAUAUUGGAUAUACAAGUGUAAACUAAAAAAUAUAACUAUGUAGGUGCAAGUAUUUUUGAAAAAAACCCAAAUAACUAGCCAAUAUAAAGAAAGAAUACUAAAUCCUACACUCCUAUGCACAUUCUACUGCAAAACACAAGUAGAAAAACUUCAAAUUUCGGCCAUGAAAUGACACCAUUUUCUCACACUCAAAAUGAUGUUAAAUUUCAUGAAUGAAACAAUACAUAUUACUUAGGUUGAAGCCCCAUUUUCUUCCUCGUUUUCCCACAGUAUAAAUCCUUAGACUUGAUCAUCCCAGGGACUAAUCCAACGAUCGUUGUGAACGAAAAUUGAGCCACUGCAUCUUGCCUUCCUAACUAAACGAUGAUCUUAGGCGAUGAUCGAGGCCCAUAUAUUGCAAGUUCGCAUUCUUUUCCUCCGCUCAUCAAAAGUCUCAAGUUCUUCGCGGCCACUAGAGCAUGUUUUUGAGCUGAAUAUCCUUGUUUAAGUUCCUGGUAAUGAAGAAGCAUUAGAAUUCAAUUGAAUAAUCCUAAGAACAUACACUGUAUAGUUCCACAAGUGGAGUCUAGGGAGGAUAGAGUUUACACUAACAUUACCCCCUACCUUGUCAGGUAAUAAUUCAAAUGAAUAAUAGAUUCGAAAAAUGCAAGUACUAGCUAGCUGCUUCAGGUCCUCUGGCUACUGCUAUAUUAUCAAAAAGAAUCAAGAUGCCUUUUAAAUCGACAACAUAUCCAAUGUAAUCCACAAGUGGAGUCUAGGGAGGGUUAUGUGUAAGCAGACCUUACCCCUAUCGUAAGGAAGAAAGUUUGUUUCCGAUACUAGGUUGUAGUUUCUCUGUUGCAACAAAACUAAAAAAUCACCACCCUUCACAUUUGGUCGAACAAUGCAGACUAAUAUCAAUCCAUGUCAUUUCAUGAAUAAGAUGUGAUCAAUUAACCAACCAAUUCCUAGCCAAUGAUGCUCUCUUCUAGCUUUACCUACAUGGCGAGGGAAAAAUCAAAGGCGAGGUGGAAAAUGGCCUGCUACAUCAAGAAAUAGAACUGACUAAUCCUAACUCCUAAGUCAGAGGGUCGAGAAACUCAAUACCACUAUUCUCAAACAACUUGGAGCAGGGCCUUCGUUCUGCACUAUUACUGAUAUGAAAAUAAUGGUCAAAAUCAGAUUAAAUUGUCAAUUGCCUCCAUUGGAAAUAUAGAAUUGACUAUUGACUUUGAAGGAACUGGAGUUACAUCUUCUUUUCCAUUCAAGAGAUUUUAUGCGUUUUCACGAUCUUUUAAGACCGUGAAAAAUGGACAAAUUUAUUUUCUUAGAAACACAUACAAGAUUCGUCACUACAAAAAGCAUAUAUUUUCAAGAAAUAAGAGAUAUGCAGUUUAGUGCUUACCUUAAUAUCAGUUAUAUCUCCAACAGCAAAUAUGUUUCUAUGACCCUUGAUUCUAAGAUUUUCAUCAACCUUCAAUCUUCCAAAAUUACGAUUCGAUCCUUCAAAUACGUCUCCCUUAACUACUCUGAACCCGGUGGCUUCCCCGUGCUAAGAAAAUGGCCAUCCUCUCUGAUAGUUUCCCCAGACGAGGUGAAAUAUGUUCUGUUUCCAACCGAGCUGUACAUGUUAUUACUCAUAUCGACAGAUUGCAUCAAUUUCACUUCCAUAUUCUUGUUUUUAACCAUUCUAAAUUCUAGUAGUCUAGAUCCAUCUUGCACCAAAGUUACCUUCUUCUGAGGAAAAUCGACAGUGAUUUCUGCAGCAAGUUUAACACUAGUAGGCCACCACCAACAAUCAAUACUGCUUUUAUCUUUUCAUUCUCUGCAACAAAGAACCUCGCAACAUUUUGACUAGUACAUCUCAACAUUCAUCACAAGACAAUUGACUGAAUCCCGUGAAAACUUGCUAGAGGAGCCGGUUUACAAAUAAAUAAUCUCCGCCUAAUGGAUACAGAACACCCAUGCUUUAGCUUUGUUUUAUCAUUUCCCGUAAAGGACAUCAAAAACAGCCUAGCCUCUCGCCAUUUUGACUUGUAAUAUACAACCUGACAAGACAAUCGCAAAAGAAAAGAUCUAAUCACUAGUAUGUCUCGACGUACAACAUAUCCAAUGUAAUCCCACAAGUGGUAUUUGGGGAGGGUAAGAUGUACACAUACUUUACCUCUACCUUUGCGGGGUAGGGAGGUUGCUUCCUGUAGACCCUCGGCUCAAAAGAAAUGAAGAAAUAAUAGCAUCGUGCAAGAAUAUAUGAUAAACAAAAUUACAUUAUACAAAGCAAAUGAAGCAACAUAUAGUAAUAUACACUGGAAAAAAAGGAAGCUACGCAAUUACUAAAUAUUAAUACUAGUACAUCUCGAACUCUUUGUGAAAUAGUAGAGCAGUCAUGAUCAAGACAAUUGGCUGAAUCAAAUUAAAUAAAACCUGACAGAAGAGCCGGUUUACACAUAAAGAAUCUUUUCUCAACAGAUACAAAACACUAAUGCUUUAGCUUCUUUUUAUCAUUUUCCAAAAAAGUUGACACGAUUAUUUGAUUUCAACAAAACUUUCCACGAUAAACGUACAAGUAAUUUGCUCGUUGAAAAGCAGACAAUAUGGUAAAUCUAACGAAUUAAGCACAACUAUCUAAACCAACUUCAACUCACCACACUAAAUUUUAAACUAAAAAAAAAUAUUCUCUUUAUAUUCUUCUUAUAAUGGUAUAUUAAAUUAUAAUUUAUAGUAAAGGUAUAUUAAAUUACAUUUUAUAAAAUUAUAAUGUAAUGUUAUUUAUUAAUAAUGUAUUAUAUUUGCAUUUUAAUAACGGUAUAUUUUCUCUACCUAGCUCAUGAUUUUUGUUGUUUCAACUUUUCCAGUGACUUCAUUUAGAGUUGCACCCUUGUGCUUUGAUAAAAUGCAGAAUCUUAUGUAUAAAAAAAUACAAGAGGUCAUUUCUAGAUAAUUUAACAUCUAAUGAUCUAAUAAAGCAUCUUGUUUCAGUUGGUGAAAGUUUAUAUCCAAUAAAAAUAUGUCAAUUUGGUGGUAUGUCAGUCCCCACCAAAGACUAAACUAUAGGGUCUCAACUCAUUACUCAUGGUGGCAUGUAUCUAUUGAUUUAUUGUAAAAAAAAAUACGAAUGUGUCUUCAUCCCAUCUGAAUUUGCUUGGUAAUAAUUUACUAUAUAUGAGGUGUUUUAGUUCGCACUAUCGAGAGGACUUUAUUACAAUUUUCAACCAAGAGAAAAUUUUAUCUCUGAUCUUGUAUAUAAGAAAACAACUACAAGGGAAAACUUUUAUCAUUUUACCAAAGCUCUUGGUGUUAUCGAAUUUCCAACUUCUUGACGUGUUUUCAAGUAUAAUAAAUUUAUGAUAGUAUAGAAAGAAAGAAAUGAAAAUAAAACAUUAUUGUUGGGUGAAAAGUGAUACUCAUGGAAAGGACACAGGGGCGGCUCAACGUAACUGGAGGCCUAAAGCGAAAUUUUAUUUGAGGCCUAAAAAAAAUCAUACAUAUUUAUUUAAAAAUUAUUUUUCUAAUUGUUUAGAUGCACAUUAUUACUUCAACUUUUUAAUAGAUGAUUUAUUUGAGUACUUUUUUAAAAAAAAUUAAUUAAUUUUAGGUAAGAUUUUAUCAAUUCAAUGCUGAAAAAUAUCCUUUUACUAAAGCAAUCAUUAUAUGAAUUGUUAACAUAAUUCUCUAAGGAAUAAGUUGACAAACUUUAAGCAAAAUAAGAGUUAGAACCAUAGAAUCUGAUUCAAGACGUUGAUAACUUGAUAUACCUAACUUUGAUUGAAAAUUUAAGUUAAAAAAAAAUUGCGAUUCACUUUGUUCAACAUUGUUCGACUAAUGAUUCAGAUUUAUGAUAGAGUAUUACUUUAACUUAUCAAAGAUUUGUAGAAAAAGAGUGAAAAAGGAGUUUUAAAAUAAAUAAAUAAUGUGAAUAUUAGUUAGCAAAGAAAUGUAAUAAGACAAAACAACGUUNNNNNNNNNNNNNNNNNNNNNNNNNNNNNNNNNNNNNNNNNNNNNNNNNNNNNNNNNNNNNNNNNNNNNNNNNNNNNNNNNNNNNNNNNNNNNNNNNNNNNNNNNNNNNNNNNNNNNNNNNNNNNNNNNNNNNNNNNNNNUGUCCGCAUCCCCCACCCACCCCACCCAAAAUAAAUAAAAUAUCCUUCCUCUUUUGCCUCAAUUUUUCAAUUAUUCAAUUGAGAUAAAAGACUCUUGUUAUUAGGUGAAAAGUGAUGCUCAUGGAAAAGAUAAAAAAGGACAAUUUAAAUUACUUAUUAUUUUUUCCCUAUAGCUAUUAGUCGUGGGAAAAGGCAUCAAUUCCUCUUUAAAUUUGUCCCGAAAAGUCAGUUACAUGCUUAAACUAUUAUAGUGAUCUAUUACACACUUAUACUACUCAAAAGUAAAUUUUCUUACCCCUUAAAACUGACGUGGCAAAAAAAUAAAACAAAAAUAAAAAAUACGCGCGUCAGUUUGAAAUUAAAGUGAUAAAAAAAAGUUAGAAUCUUCUUUUCCACCCCACCCCAUACCUCUUCUUCUUCACACCCCACCCCUUGUCCUCUUCUUCUUCAUUCUUUAUUUUCAUCACACUUCUUUAUUUUUUUUAUCACAAUCUUAAAGCACAAUUUUGUUUUAUUCGCAAUAAGGUUAAUUCUCAUAGAUUUGUUAGUUUAUAAUUGUAUUUUAUCUAGAGAAGUUUCGGUUGAUUGUUUCUAUCUUUGUCAUUUUUUUGACUUUGUUAAAGAAAUUUUUGUUGUUGAUCAAUUUUUGGGUUUAGUGGUGAUAGCAACUUUAUGGGUUUGGUGGUGAUGGUGGUGGGUGAUAAAAAAUUAAAAGAGGUAAUUGAAGAUGGUGAUGAAGAAAAAAUCGAUAUUAAUAAUGGUGGUGGUGAUAUUUGGUGAUGGGUGACAAAGAAGAAGAAGAAUUGAAGGUGAUAUAGUGGUGGUGAAGAACAAAAUCAAUAGUGAAAGGUGGUUGGAUAUGAUUUUUCCGAUGAAAUGAGAAUUGAAAUUGGUGGGAUUUAGUGAUGAAGAAGAUAUAAUUAUUAGAGAAUUAAAGUAAUUAAUAAGAGUAAAAUAUAGUUAACAAAAGAAAAGUUAAUUAAUAAAGAAAAGAAAAUAAAAAAUUAUAAUUUAUGACAUGGCGCUGAUGUAGCGGUGAUGUGGCAACGAGUGUAAUGCACCACAUAAUGUAAGAGUGGUAUUACACGUUUUAGGGUGGUAAUAAAUUCACUUUUGAGUAUUAAAGGUGUGUAAUAGGUCACUAUAAUAGUUUAAGCGGGUAACCGGGACAAGUUCAAGGGGAAUCUAUGACUUUUCCCAUCAGAUGUUGACCAUACAAAACUAUUAUCUUCUCAAAAUCAUUUUGUGUGUUUCCUUGUUUUGCUUUGCAGAUUUCAGAAAUGGAGAUUGUCUUAGCAGUUGGUGGUGCAUUUCUCUCUUCAGCUUUGAAUGUUCUCUUUGAUAGGCUUGCUCCUCACGGUGAUCUGCUCAACAUGUUUCGGAAGCAUAAGGAUCAUGUUAAGCUCUUAAAGAAGCUGGAGGACAUUUUGCUUGGUCUUCAGAUUGUGCUAAGUGAUGCAGAGAAUAAGCAAGCAUCAAAUCGACACGUGAGCCAGUGGUUUAAUAAGCUUCAGAGUGCUGUGAACGGCGCUGAAAACUUGAUAGAAGAAGUCAAUUAUGAAGCUCUGAGGCUUAAGGUGGAAGGUCGGCAUCAAGAUCUCGCAGAAACAAUCAACAAGCAAGUAAGUGACCUUAACCUGAGCUUGAGUGAUGACUUCUUUCUAAACAUAAAGGUCAAGUUGGAAUACAUCAUGGAAACAUUGGAGGAUUUGGAAAAGCAAAUUGGCCGCCUUGGCUUAAAGGGGCAUUUUGGUUCGACGAAACAAGAAACAAGAACACCUUCAACUUCUUUGGUUGAUGAAUCUGAUAUCUUUGGUAGGCAGAGUGAAAUAAAGGAUUUGAUUGACCGUUUAUUGUCUGAAGAUGCAAGUGGGAAAAAGAUGACAGUAGUUCCUAUUGUUGGAAUGGGUGGCCUGGGUAAGACAACACUUGCUAAAGCCGUUUACAAUGAUGAGAGGGUGAAGAACCAUUUUGGUUUGAAAGCUUGGUAUUGUGUUUCUCAGGGAUAUGAUGCUUUGAGAAUAACGAAAGGGUUACUUCAAGAAAUUGGCAAAUUUAACUCAAAGGAUGUCCACAACAAUCUUAAUCAGCUUCAAGUCAAAUUGAAGGAAAGCUUGAAGGAAAAGAAGUUUUUUAUUGUUUUGGAUGAUGUGUGGAAUGACAACUACAACGAGUGGGAUGACUUGAGAAAUAUUUUUGUACAAGGAGAUAUAGGAAGUAAGAUCAUUGUGACGACACGCAAAGAGAGUGUUGCCUUGAUGAUGGGAAAUGAGCAAAUUAGCAUGGACAAUUUGUCAACUGAAGCCUCUUGGUCUUUAUUUAAAAGACAUGCAUUUGAAAACAUGGAUCCUAUGGAACAUCCGGAACUUGAAGAGGUCGGAAAACAAAUUGCAGCUAAGUGCAAAGGACUGCCCUUAGCUCUGAAGACGCUGGCUGGCAUGUUACGCUCCAAAUCAGAGGUUGAAGAGUGGAAACGUAUUUUGAGAAGUGAAAUAUGGGAGCUGCCAGACAAUGACAUAUUACCAGCGUUGAUGUUGAGCUACAAGGAUCUUCCGGCACAUUUAAAGCUAUGUUUUUCCUAUUGUGCAAUAUUUCCUAAAGAUUAUCCAUUUAGUAAAGAACAAGUCAUUCAUCUGUGGAUUGCCAAUGGUCUCGUACCAAAGGAUGAUGAGAGAAUUCAAGAUCCAGGCAACCAAUACUUUCUCGAAUUGAGAUCAAGAUCAUUAUUCGAAAGGGUCCCAAAUCCUUCUGAAGGGAACAUAGAGAAAUUCUUAAUGCAUGACCUUGUCAACGAUUUAGCCCAAAUUGCAUCUUCAAAACUUUGUAUCAGGUUGGAAGAGAGCCAAGGAUCUCAUAUGUUAGAAAAAAGUCAACACUUAUCAUAUUCAAUGGGAUAUGAUGGUGAGUUUGAGAAAUUGACACCCCUCUACAAAUUGGAGCAGCUGAGGACGUUGCUUCCGAUAUGUACUGAUGUCAGUUAUUACUCUCUGAGCAAGAGGGUGCAGCAUAACAUACUGCCAAGACUAAGAUCCUUGAGNNNNNNNNNNNNNNNNNNNNNNNNNNNNNNNNNNNNNNNNNNNNNNNNNNNNNNNNNNNNNNNNNNNNNNNNNNNNNNNNNNNNNNNNNNNNNNCAUUACCAGAUUAAGGAGUUGCCAAAUGACUUGUUUAUCAAAUUAAAGCUCCUCAGAUUUUUGGACCUUUCUCUGACAUAUAUUGAAAAGUUGCCUGAUUCUGUUUGUGGAUUGUAUAACUUGGAGACACUUCUCCUGUCAUCUUGUUAUAAUCUUGAGGAGCUACCGCUGCAGAUGGAGAAGUUGAUUAACUUGCAUCACCUUGACAUAAGCAACAGUUUUCGCUUGAAGAUGCCGCUACAUCUAAGCAAGUUGAAAAGCCUCCAAGUGCUAGUGGGAGCCAAGUUUCUUCUAAGUGGUUGGAGGAUGGAAGAUUUGGGUGAAGUACAUAACUUGCACGGAUCUCUAUCAGUUGUAGAGUUGCAAAAUGUGGUUGAUAGUAGGGAAGCUGUGAAGGCAAAGAUGAGGGAGAAAAAUCAUGUUGACAAGUUAUCUUUGGAGUGGGUUGGAAGUAGUAGUGCCGACAAGUCACAAACUGAAAGAGACAUACUUGAUGAGCUACGCCCACAUAAAAACAUAAAAGAAGUCAAGAUCACCGGAUAUAGAGGGACAACAUUUCCAAAUUGGCUAGCUGAUCCUUUGUUUCUUAAGCUGGUGAAAUUGUCUCUUAGCAACUGCAAGGACUGUUAUUCCUUGCCAGCACUAGGAGAACUCCCUUGUUUGAAAUUCCUUUCGAUUAGAGGGAUGCAUGGAAUAACAGAGGUGACGGAAGAAUUCUAUGGCAGUUUGUCCUCCAAAAAGCCUUUUAACUGUCUUGAGGACCUUGAAUUUGAAGAUAUUCCGGAGUGGAAGCAAUGGCACGUACUAGGAAAUGGAGAGUUCCCUACACUUGAGAAGCUUUUCAUUAUAAAUUGCCCAGAACUCAGUUUGGAGACACCCAUCCAACUUUCAUGUUUAAAAAGGUUUCAUGUUGUUGGUUGUUCUAAGGUUGGAGUUGUUUUUGAUGAUGCUCAACUGUUUAUAUCCCAACUUGAGGGAAUGAAACAGAUUGUUGAACUAUUUAUUAGUGAUUGUAACUCUGUUACCUCCUUUCCUUUUAGCAUACUGCCCACUACCUUGAAGAUAAUAUGCAUAUCUCGUUGCAAGAAAUUGAAAUUGGAGAUGCCAGUUGGCGAGAUGAGUUAUUGUAACAUGUUUCUCGAUUAUUUGAGCGUGGCAGAAUGUGAUUAUAUAUCACCUGAGUUGUGCCAAAGAGCACGCCAAUUGAGAGUACAGGAUUGCCACAACCUUACUAGGUUUUUGAUUCCUACUGCGACUGAAACUCUCUAUAUUCGGGGAUGUGAGAAUGUUGAAAAACUUUCGGUGGCAUGUGGGGGGACCCAGAUGACGUCACUGAUUAUUGAUGGCUGUAAGAAGCUGAAGUGGCUGCCAAAACGUAUGCAGGAACUCCUUCCAUCUCUUAAGCAACUGCAACUGAUUGAUUGUCCAGAAAUAGAGUCCUUUCCUCAAGGAGGAUUGCCCUUCAAUUUACAACGACUUUGGAUCAGAAAUUCCAAGAAACUGGUGAACAGACGAAAGGAGUGGUGUUUGCAGAGACUCCCCUGUCUCAACUUGUUAGAGAUCUCUCAUGAUGGCAGUGACGAAGAGAUUGUUGGUGGUGAGAAUUGGGAGUUGCCUUCCUCUAUUCAAAAACUUACAAUAAACAAUGUGAAAACAUUAAGCAGCCAACAUCUCAAAAGCCUCACCUCUCUUCAAUAUCUAUGUAUUGAGGGUAAUUUUCCUCAAAUUCAGUCAAUGCUGGAAGAAGAGCUUCCCUCCUCUCUUUCUCACCUCACUUCGCUUCAAAGUCUACACAUCGGGAAUUUCCCUAAUCUCCAAUCACUUUCUGAAUCAGCACUGCCCUCCUCCCUCUCUCAGCUGACCAUAGAUGAUUGCCCUAAUCUCCAAUCACUUUCCGAAUCAGCACUGCCCUCCUCCCUCUCUCAGCUGGAGAUCUCCCAUUGUCCUAAUCUCCAAUCCCUUCCGGUAAAAGGGAUGCCCUCUUCCCUCUCUCAACUAAGUAUUUACAACUGCCCAUUGCUCACACCGUUACUAGAAUUUGACAAGGGGGAAUACUGGCUAAAUAUUGCUCAAAUUUCCACCAUAGUGAUCGAUGAGGAAUCCCUGUGAUGAUUAAAACGAAUGGCUCUCCAACUGAUGUAAGUUAUUCUUUUCCAUCAUAAGCUUUUUACUUUUGUUUACUUCACUUUGCAUUUUUGUUAAUCCUUUUCCUUUUUUAAACCUUUUUGAGCAGUGUGGAAUGUCUAUUGCUCAAACCACGGCUGCCGACCAAAAACUGCUCAUAUUUCCACCAUAAAUGUUCAUUGGGAGAACCUCUAAUGAUUCAAACAUGUGGUGCUCCAAUAGAUGUAAGUUCCUUAGUAUCUUUUGAUUUUUGGUUACUUCUCUUUGCUUGUUUCUUAAUUCUUUUUCUACAUUAUAGGAUAAAGACAUGUUUUACUCCUCUCGAUAUGCAGAUAUGUUGCAGAGAUGAAGUCUCUGUGAGAGUGGUAAGAUAUCAUUUAAAGCAUAUGGCAAUCUAGCUCAGCAAGAGAUACAUGCUAAAGUAUAUCCUGUUUGGGAUGAAUUCAACGUGAGAUAACAAAAUAAUGAUUUACUCGUGUUUCAGUUACCAAGAUGCUUAUUUUGUUGUAAUACUUUGCACUCUCAUAAAUCAGUGAAAUAGGUUUCCUUCAUUGGCACCCUCAUCAGUCAUCAGUCUGCGAAACAGAGAAAUCAACGGUUUCAAAAUUCUUUAGAACCCAUUUCGAGCUUCAUACCUUCAAUUCUGAUGACACCCAAGACACAAAAGACAUCAACAUAGUAGAAGAAUUUAACCCAACACCCAUUUCAACCCAAGUUUUUGAUUCCUGCUUCACCUGAUGGGAAGAAGUUUACGUGUGAGAAAGGUCUAUAGGUACAAAUAUUUUUUCUUCUCCCUUUCUUACUGCGGCGCUUAUAUUGGUUUUGCCCCACUUUGCAUCAUAAUGAUGUUGGAGUGUAUCGGUUUUCUACUGGUAUUCAGAUACUUAAAAUGG
rnacentral:lncRNA from 1 species